rnacentral:rRNA from 1 species
AGUCGAGGGGCAGCACGAUGUAGCAUACAUUGGUGGCGACCGGCGCACGGGUGAGUAACGCGUAUGCAACCUACCUAUCAGAGGGGAAUAACCCGGCGAAAGUCGGACUAAUACCGCAUAAAACAGGGGUUCCACAUGGAAAUAUUUGUUAAAGAAUUAUCGCUGAUAGAUGGGCAUGCGUUCCAUUAGAUAGUUGGUGAGGUAACGGCUCACCAAGUCCACGAUGGAUAGGGGUUCUGAGAGGAAGGUCCCCCACACUGGUACUGAGACACGGACCAGACUCCUACGGGAGGCAGCAGUGAGGAAUAUUGGUCAAUGGGCGAGAGCCUGAACCAGCCAAGUCGCGUGAAGGAUGAAGGAUCUAUGGUUUGUAAACUUCUUUUAUAUGGGAAUAAAGUGAGGAACGUGUUCCUUUUUGUAUGUACCAUAUGAAUAAGCAUCGGCUAACUCCGUGCCAGCAGCCGCGGUAAUACGGAGGAUGCGAGCGUUAUCCGGAUUUAUUGGGUUUAAAGGGUGCGUAGGUGGUUAAUUAAGUCAGCGGUGAAAGUUUGUGGCUCAACCAUAAAAUUGCCGU